rnacentral:rRNA from 1 species
UACGUAGGGUGCGAGCGUUGUCCGGAAUUAUUGGGCGUAAAGGGCGCGUAGGCGGGCUGCCAAGUCCGGGGUGAAAUCCUCUGGCCCAACCAGAGAACGGCCUCGGAUACUGGCGGUCUGGAGGGGGAUAGGGGCACGCGGAACCGUGGGUGGAGCGGUGAAAUGCGUUGAGAUCCACAGGAACUCCGGUGGCGAAGGCGGCGUGCUGGAUCCCACCUGACGCUGAGGCGCGAAAGCCAGGGGAGCGAACGGG